AGCAGGCAGAGUGUGGCUGCCCUAUGUAAGUAGGGAGGAAAGUCCGGGCUCCGGAGGAUAACGUAACGGGUAAUCCCCGUCCUUGUUGAAUAAACAUGCGGAUUAGAGCCACAGAGACGAGUAACAGCUAAAAGGCUGUGAGGUGAAACGCGGUAAUCUCUGCGUGGAGCAAUGUAGAAUAGGAGAUGAGCCUUGUAAGUCGCUUAAAGCGACAUAUGAGUCGCGUGCUGAUCCGGCGCGCUUUCCGUUUGACGGGAAAUAAUCUCGGGUAAACUGCUAAAGUUAGCGUGGUAACGCGCUGAUUGAGAGGAAUAGCCACUAAUCGAUGCGCAAACUCGCAUCAAGACAGAACCCGGCUUAUUCUGCCUGCUUUAU
rnacentral:RNase_P_RNA from 1 species